GAUGAACGCUGGCGGCGUGCCUAAUACAUGCAAGUCGAGCGAACAGACGAGGAGCUUGCUCCUCUGACGUUAGCGGCGGACGGGUGAGUAACACGUGGAUAACCUACCUAUAAGACUGGGAUAACUUCGGGAAACCGGAGCUAAUACCGGAUAAUAUAUUGAACCGCAUGGUUCAAUAGUGAAAGACGGUUUUGCUGUCACUUAUAGAUGGAUCCGCGCCGCAUUAGCUAGUUGGUAAGGUAACGGCUUACCAAGGCAACGAUGCGUAGCCGACCUGAGAGGGUGAUCGGCCACACGGGAACUGAGACACGGCCCAGACUCCUACGGGAGGCAGCAGUAGGGAAUCUUCCGCAAUGGGCGAAAGCCUGACGGAGCAACGCCGCGUGAGUGAUGAAGGUCUUCGGAUCGUAAAACUCUGUUAUUAGGGAAGAACAAAUGUGUAAGUAACUAUGCACGUCUUGACGGUACCUAAUCAGAAAGCCACGGCUAACUACGU
rnacentral:rRNA from 1 species